rnacentral:rRNA from 1 species
GUACACACCGCCCGUCACACCAUGAGAGUUGGUAACACCCGAAGUCCGUGAGGUAACCUUUUGGAGCCAGCGGCCGAAGGUGGGAUCGAUGAUUGGGGUGAAGUCGUAACAAGGUAGCCGUAGGUGAACCUGCAGAAGGAUCA